UUCGGUCCUAUCUGCCGUGGGCGUUGGAUGAUUGAAGGAAGCUGCUCCUAGUACGAGAGGACCGGAGUGGACGAACCGCUGGUGUUCGGGUUGUUAUGCCAAUAGCAUUGCCCGGUAGCUACGUUCGGAAUCGAUAACCGCUGAAAGCAUCUAAGCGGGAAGCGAGUCCUAAGAUGAGUCAUCCCUAGGGAUUUAAUUCCUCUAAAGAGCCGUUCGAGACUAGGACGUUGAUAGGCAGGGUGUGUAAGUGCUGUGAGGCAUUGAGCUAACCUGUACUAAUGACUCGUGAGGCUUAACCAU
rfam:Shewanella benthica KT99 1099576005602, whole genome shotgun sequence.